CUGUUUGUACGUUUUUCGCGUUGAAUUUACGCGCCGACGUUAGUCCUCUCGUCCAACGCCGAUCGUAGAUACCGUUCAGAGACCCUUCGUCCUCCUCCUCCUCCUACUCCUCCUCCUCCUUAUUAUACGUCGUCGGUAUGUUUCUUCGUUUCCAAGGCAUUCAUUUUCUUUAACCAACCUCCUUUCGUAUUUCCUUUUCGCUUUUGCUUUUAUCUUUGCACUUGUUUCUGCGUGCACGUCGAUUCGCUAAGCGCUGAAUGCUUAGGCUCUGUGCGAGACGGGAGACUUUUUUCUCGUGCGCUGUCCGUGACAGGCGCAUGGCACGUCGGUAAUCGUAUUAUAGUUACGUAAGGCGGAGCGCUUCUAUUUUUCGUAUAAAGAUCGAAGGAGAAAAAUAUCAGUCGAAUAAAAAGAUUGCAAUACGAUUAUCAUUACUGCGUCUCGUACGUCUACGUUCGUAUAUUUCUCUGGGAUUACAUUUUUUCUCAUCCGAAUUACGCACUUCGAGGUAAAAGUAGGUCGAUAAGAAACUGUAAAGGGUCAAUCGACACGAGGGUAACGUCGUCACGACAGCAAUUUCUUUUCGAUCCACUGCAAUUUACUCGUUUCUCUCCUUUUUUUGAGUUCACGCUCGACUUUUGUUUUUUUUUUUUUUUGCUCAAGCUCUCUAGUACGUACAAUAUGGUAACGAAGGAUCGACGUCUAAACGUCCAAAGAGGAGAAGGGAGAAAGCGAUCGUCGACGAGGACGAAGGAAAGAAAAGACGAGAGUUUCGAUGGUUUCCGAGGCGUCUCAAGUACGAGAUCCACUCGAGAAUGCCUAAUACUCGUAAAUAGGAAUGUACGUGUAUGGAACUGACCACCCGCGCGCAACUGGAUCGAAGAGGAAUCGACCACGAGUGGAC